AGAGUUUGAUCAUGGCUCAGAUUGAACGCUGGCGGCAUGCUUUACACAUGCAAGUUGAACGGCAGCACAGGGAGCUUGCUCCCGGGUGGCGAGUGGCGCACGGGUGAGUAAUACAUCGGAACGUGUCCUGUUGUGGGGGGAUAACUGCUCGAAAGGGUGGCUAAUACCGCAUGAGACCUGAGGGUGAAAGCGGGGGAUCGUAAGACCUCGCGCAAUUGGAGCGGCCGAUGCCCGAUUAGCUAGUUGGUGAGGUAAAGGCUCACCAAGGCGACGAUCGGUAGCUGGUCUGAGAGGACGACCAGCCACACUGGGACUGAGACACGGCCCAGACUCCUACGGGAGGAAGCA
rnacentral:rRNA from 1 species